rnacentral:rRNA from 1 species
AUGCUGACGAUAUCUUCAAAAACAUUGCAACAGCAGCGAGGCUUCACAGCAACAUAUGAUGGUAGCAGUUCAGAGGCAACACCGCCGGAGAGCAGUCUGAGCAUGGAUAUUAUAGUUCUUGAGGCUCUACUAGGGGCAGAAAGAGAUGGUGUGGCUGCCAUGAAUGAGGUAAUCUCGAUCUUGAAGCUAGAAAUUAUGCAAUUAGCUGCACGCAUUAUGCAAGCAACCCAAGAAUUGGAGGAAGUAAGAAUGUUGCAUUUGAAGACGGAGGAGGUCCUGCUGCUUCUGCUAUCUGAAGCCCAGGGUAAUCCCAGUUCUUCUUUAGACAGCGGUUGA